UGCAGUUGAAGACUGUAGAUAUCUCCAGAAAGUUGACUAGGUUUCAAACAUCUGCAGAUAGCACAUCAGAGAAGAGGCUAUGAUGGGAUACACAGCUUAUUUACAGAGAAUUUUCAGGGCAAGCCCAGGAUUACAAAGCGCACAUCUAUCAUUACUGCUGUGUCCAAAUUCAUGGAAGAGAGAUAACUCUACAUUCUGAAAAUUGAUGUCAUAUUGAUUUCAGUCAUCAUCUUUUAUAUUUUACUGGAUACAAUGCAAUUUAUUUUUAUUUUUGUAAUCCUUUCACCCAAUGGAUAUUUUGUUUAGGCAGCAAACAAGUCAACAUACAGUAUAUGAAAUACAAUUUGAUGAAACU